CAUUUUCAUGAUUAAUUGGUCAAUGUUAAGUUUUGUGUUUUGGUAUGUUUUUCAAUUAUCAUAAGCAAAACAAGAUAAAACUACUUUAGUGUACUGAAGUGAACAAUUGUAAGGUGUACAGGUCUGUCUGACCUUGACCGCAAUGGCUCAUUGUCAUGGAUCUUUAAAAAAAUGUUUAGUUGAUGAGAUACAUGUGUAUUCUGAUCCUAUAGAGCAACCA
rnacentral:lncRNA from 1 species